GAUGAACGCUGGCGGCGUGCCUAAUACAUGCAAGUCGAACGGGGAGUAUUAAUUUCGAUUUUUACUCCUAGUGGCGAACGGGUGAGUAACGCGUUGGUGACCUGCCCCGAAGCGGGGGACAACAGUUCGAAAGGACUGCUAAUACCCCAUGUGGUCGUACAGGUUAGAGGCUGAACGACUAAAGGAGCAAUCCACUUCGGGAGGGGCCUGCGUCCCAUCAGCUAGUUGGUAAGGUAACGGCCUACCAAGGCGAUGACGGGUAGGGGACCUGAGAGGGUGGUCCCCCACACUGGCACUGAAACACGGGCCAGACACCUACGGGUGGCAGCAGUAGGGAAUAUUGCACAAUGGGCGAAAGCCUGAUGCAGCAACGCCGCGUGCGCGAAGAAGGCCUUCGGGUUGUAAAGCGCUUUUCUGGAGGAAGAGAAAGGACGGUACUCCAGGAAUAAGGAUCGGCUAACUACGUGCCAGCAGCCGCGGUAACACGUAGGAUCCGAGCGUUAUCCGAAUUUACUGGGCGUAAAGCGCGUGUAGGCGGCCGGGUAAGUUGGACGUGAAAGCUCCUGGCUCAACUAGGAGAGGUCGUUCAAAACUGCCUGGCUAGAGGGCGGCAGAGGGAGGUGGAAUUCCCGAUGUAGUGGUGAAAUGCGUAGAUAUCGGGAGGAACACCAGUGGCGAAGGCGGCCUCCUGGGUCGCUCCUGACGCUCAGACGCGAAAGCUAGGGGAGCAAACGGGAUUAGAUACCCCGGUAGUCCUAGCUGUAAACGAUGUGGACUUGGCGUUGGUGGUGUCAAAGCCAUCAGUGCCGUAGCUAACGCGAUAAGUCCACCGCCUGGGGACUACGACCGCAAGGUUA
rnacentral:rRNA from 1 species